rnacentral:rRNA from 1 species
ACAGAGACUGCAAGCGUUAUUCGGAUUCACUGGGCGUAAAGGGUGCGCAGGCGGCCAAGUGUGUUAGGCGUGAAAGCCUGAGGCUUAACCUCAGAAUUGCACCUAAAACUACAUGGUUAGAGCAUUGGAGAGGGUAGCGGAAUUCACGGUGUAGCAGUGAAAUGCGUAGAUAUCGUGAGGAACACCAGAGGCGAAGGCGGCUACCUGGACAAUUGCUGACGCUCAGGCACGAAAGCGUGGGGAGCAAAAGGGA